GCUUUUUAACAAAAACAUAAUUUAUUCAUGUAAGAAAUAGUGUGAAUGCCAGCAUACACAUCUAUAUAAAUGUCAUAUUGUUCAUCAGCAGUUGUUCAUCCCAAAACAGGUAAACAAUGAUGAAACUAAAGAUUGUACUGCCAAUAACGCUAGUUUUUUCUUUUUUAAAGUUAAUAGAAGUAUGCCGCAAUUUUCAUGUAAUUGCACUAAUACUAGUGCACUGUGUAAAGUGCUGGACAUCGCAUUGCAUUAUUACAUAGCCAGAUACAGUUUUGUAAAGUGCAUUCUAUCAAAUCUGUAAAACAUUGAUAUUGUAGAAAUAAUAUAUACCAUUUAGCAGACGCUUUUGUCCAAAGUGACUUACAGUCAUGCGUGUAUACAUUUCACAUAUGGGUGGCUCCAGUGGGAAUUGACACUUGGUGUUACAAGCAUCAUGCUCUAACAACUGAGCCACACAGGACCACAGUAUUAGAGAAAAUAUAUUUCUACCACCUGGAAAUAUUGCUACAUAAAUAGUUUGGAUCAAUAGCUUGGUUUUCUUAUUUUCUCACGUCUCAUAAGUAGAAUCCCCAAAAACAAUGCAUUAGUCUAGGGUUACUGUAGGGGCCUGUUUCGUAGUCCUGGUUCUGUGGACUCAAAGGGGUGCACAUUUUAGUUUUUACCCUAGCACUACACACAUCAUGUCACUAAUCAACUCAUCAUCAAACCUUUGAUUAGUGGAAUCAGGUGUGUAUUGCUAGGGCAAAACCAAAAAUGUGCACCCCUUUGAGUCCACAGAACCAGGAUUAAGAUACCCUGCUGUAGGGAAAUAACCAAUGUACCUUGUAGCAAGUUACAGUAGGCUACAUAGUACUUACUAUCACUAAUUCAGAUAAGUAAAUACAGACAGUCCAUAGUGGAUAUAUUUUACUUACUAACCUGUACACAUAGUAGUUAUUUAGAUUACCUAGUGUAGAUUUACUGGUACAAGGACUACCAUAAGUGGCUGUCAUGUGGUGUUCCCUAGGUGACCUGCCUCUGGGUUUUAUUUGUGUCCCAAGGAGCACUACAUGUGCUAUUACAGUACUGAGUAUGUUUACUUUCCCCUGCAGUAGUUGGUCUCAUUUGCAUGUGGUGGCGCAUCAAUGAUUAGGACCAUCCUGGUUAUGCAACGUCUGAUCUGGAUUAACCUGCAAAGCAACACAAAUGCUAUUAGAAACAUAUGUGAUCUUCCUUGAUUCACCUGCUAGCAGCACUGUGGUUAAAGGUACAAAACAGGUUUUAACUUGCGUGUUGGGGGUGUUUCUGUGUCACAAUCCCUUCUGACCUCUAGUUUAGUUUAUACCACAUGAGGCUGCUGAGGGGGGAACAGCUCAUAAUAACGGCCUGGAAACCAUGUGUUUGAUGCAUUUGAUACCAUUCCACUAAUUCCAGUCCAGUCAUUACUGCGAGCCCGUUCUCCCCAAAUAAGGUGCUACCAGCCUCCUGUGAUUUACACAUAAUUACAGGCAUUUGAAUUAAAAGAGAAAACAGGGCUGACUCUUGCCUCUGGUGUCUGGGUGAAGCGGUCCUCUAAGUAGCGGUUGCCCAGGCCCAUGAUGUGUCCUGUGGAUUGUCUGGAGAGACAGGCCACCCUGGCUGUGAAGUCCAGAGUGAAGGCCAGCUUGACCAGCUCCGGGGCAUUGACGGGCCCGGGCCCAACAGUGUGUGGUGUCUGGCGGCUCUGGCCUGUAGGGGUCUCUGUCUCCACAUACGUAUCAGCUAACUGCUGGAAGGUACUGUAGGACAGCUUCUGGAAGAAUGUGCUCAGGCUGGGGUUCUCCUUCAGCUAUGGAGAGAGCAGGACAUACUUUCAUGAGUGACCAUAGAAUAAUACAUUAUUAUCCAUGAGGAAAUAGCAAGUUUAGCCUGAAAUCCAGACCAGUUUUGUGCUAACAUUCCACUCCUUGUACUCUGUGCCAUUUACCAAACCUGUUUGGCAUAGGAUACUGAUUACAAGGGGUGGAAUGUAAGCACAAACAGACUGGUACCCAGGCUAUAGCAAGCUAUCCUGGACGUGAAAGAAGCAUUGAGUGUCAAAGAUAGACUUUGUGUUAAGUUUCUCACAUACAUUCAUUUAUUUUUUUUUGUCGUUUAUGAACACAAACCUUGUUAUCAAUGACGUCUCCUUGCUGCUUCAUCAGAACAAUUAACCUUUUGAUGACGUCCUCUGGAAGAAAUGGAUAGAAAGGGUCAAUAGAAGUCUACACAGUUAUAACAGAUGUGUGAUGUGCUGUAUUACAUGGCCUUUACAGUUUUAUAUAUAGAAUGCUUAGGAUGCUAUUGAAUGUGCGAUUUCUAUUAUGAUUGGAUAAGACAUCAAUACACAUAAGAACAUUGCUUGAUGAUAAGCUACUUACCAUCUGUAGAAGCUGUGUCUGUCUCUUUCUCCUCAGACACAAUCUUCUCCAGCUCUUCUGACACUUUCUCAUAGUACGAGUCUGUAAGCACCACACUCACAACCGCUGUAGAGAGUAACAAGUAGCAGAGUAUUUUUUUCAUGCAAUAACUCUCUAAUAACAGGACUACCAACUAACUCUCUAAUAACCGGACAACCAACUAACUCUCUAACAACCGGACUACCAACUAACUCUCUAACAACUGGACUACCAACUAACUCUCUAAUAACCGGACAACCAACUAACUCUCUAACAACCGGACUACCAACUAACUCUCUAACAACUGGACUACC
rnacentral:lncRNA from 1 species